AAUAUUGGACAAUGGGGGGAACCCUGAUCCAGCCAUGCCGCGUGCGUGAAGAAGGUCUUCGGAUUGUAAAGCACUUUAAGUUGGGAGGAAGAGUUGUAGGCUAAUACCUUGCAAUUUUGACGUUACCAACAGAAUAAGCACCGUCUAACUUCGUGCCAGCAUCCGCGGUAAGACGAAGGGUGCGAGCGUUAAUCGGAGUUACUGGGCGUAAAGCGCGCGUAGGUGGUUCAGUAAGAUGGAAGUGAAAUCCCCGGGCUUAACCUGGGAACUGCUUUCAUAACUGCUGAGCUAGAGUACGGUAGAGGGUAGUGGAAUUUCCUGUGUAGCGGUGAAAUGCGUAGAUAUAGGAAGGAACAUCAGUGGCGAAGGCGACUACCUGGGCUAAUACUGACACUGAGGUGCGAAAGCGUGGGGAGCAAACAGG
rnacentral:rRNA from 1 species